UUCGAAGGGGGCUAGCGUUGUUCGGAUUUACUGGGCGUAAAGCGCCCGUAGGCGGUUCGUUAAGUCGCGGGUGAAAUCCUGGAGCUCAACUCCAGAACUGCCUUCGAUACUGGCGAUCUCGAGUCCGGAAGAGGUGAGUGGAACUCCUAGUGUAGAGGUGGAAUUCGUAGAUAUUAGGAAGAACACCAGUGGCGAAGGCGGCUCACGGGUCCGGUACUGACGCUGAGGUGCGAAAGCGUGGGGAGCAAACAGG
rnacentral:rRNA from 1 species